AGGGUUUUCUAGGGUUUUGGAUUUCGGCCGCAGAGAGCUCUUUUGGGUUCUUCUAAGGUUUUCGGUAAUGCUCGGAAUGGGUAACUCCCCCGGAGCUUAGUAGCUUCUCGAGAUCAGAUCUCUAAACUCUUGUUCUCUCAUGGAACAUAAUGAUUCCUUUUGAUGAAGAUACAUGCUGGGCUCUCUCAUAUUAUGUCACGGAUUGGAAUUUUAAGGGAUGGAACCUGUACUGCAUAAAUUCUGCAGCUGUGUUUUGCGUGGUGAUUGAUUAAUUUAUAGGUCCCAGAUGCGAUUUUUUUAAUUUUAAUUUCGGGGGAUGAACCAUUUGAGCUGAUGAUAGAGUUUUUGAAGGUAAUAACGUAGGAAGUUUGUGAAAUUGAGUUUUUUUAAUUAAUUAAUUAUUUAUUUUAGUUUCUUAUGAUUAAGGAGCAAUUGCGGAGCAUGGGUGGGGACAAAAAGUAAAGCAGCCGGUUUUGAUUGAGAUGGAAUGAUGGCAGGGACUUCCAUGGAAAAGAGUAUUAUGGUAGAUAGUUGAUGUUAGCUUUGUGAUGCCUUUUUCUUCCAUUAUCUCCUAUUGAUUGUUUGGUGUUUAGAUGGAGAUUCUAGGGUAAAAUUUUGGUUUGUUAAGGUAAGGAUAAGCAAUGGGGUACUUAUAUUUAGUAGGUGUACAUAAUAUUGCUGUGUUCUGCUGGAGGCUUAGCUGAUUAAAAUAGCGAAGAUCAUCUAUGACUUAGAGUUGCAUAGGAAUGAGUUGGAUCCUUGCAUCUCAAAGCAUAAAAAGGAUCCAUCUCUGACAGUCUCUUGUUUUUGUUCCAAACAUAUCCAAUAACCAUUUCAUGGACUUUGAAAGUUAGUCUAGAUGUGGUUUGCUUGUACAGUUUUUAUAUAGGGGUAUAGACAUUAUAGCUUUGCCUCUUUUGCUAUUAAAAAGGAUUCUCAUGGUGGAGUUUUUUGCAGGUUCAGAGUUUCAGGGAUUUUGGACUAUCCUACCAUAAUCUUCUGCUUGUAUUCUGAAAAAUGAAAACUAAUGUGUUUUUCUUUUUUUCUUUUUCUUUUUUUUUUUUUGGUUUCCAACGAGUAAGUUUGCAAACAGCCUGUUUUUUUUUUAAUAAUAUCUCUGGAAAUUAUGAUAGAAUGAUGAACAUCCUGUGAUAACGCAGCAUCUUUUGAUGCGAUGUGCGGUCCUUUCCACACGAGAUUUCUGACUGUCUAAGAAUUCAAUUAAUUAGAUAUUGCUUUUCAAGUAGUCCUUAUCAGCAGAACAAAAUUUUAGAUUGAUCUUGCUUUAUGAAUUUUAUUACUUUUUUCUGAAAUUUUCUUAAAACCUGGAGGUCCGGGAGACAAGUAUGAGAAAUUAAAAGUGAAAAGAGGUGAAUAACUUAAUUGGUUUUCAUGCCUACUUUUAUUAUGCCCUAAGUAACCAGGAUGUCAUAAUUUUGUGUUACCCGCAUCAGGUUAUAGGGCUCAUAAACUUUAAUUUUUCUAUUUGAAUACCAAAAUCCGAAAUGUUCCUCUCUUAGUAAUCUCUCUUAUCUGUAAUGAUGUUUCUUCUGCUUGACUAGCUUUCUGGUUAUCCAUCAUUUUCUAUAUUUUUCUUCACUAUUCAUCAAGUAUAUCAAUCCAAUAGUCCAAAUCUUGGAUUUAAUAGAUAGUGGAACAUUUCAAAUCUUGGUUUUAAUAGAUAGCAGAACAUUAAAGUUCAUCACUUUCAGCUGUCUUCUUGCUUUUAUUUUGGCCUUUCUUUGCAGUCCAUUUGUCAUGUGUUAAUAAGUGAGGUUUCAUCUUCUUGUUCAUGUGGAUUGUAACUUGAAUUUCGCAAAUCCUGCAAGGACAUCAUACCACACUUGUUAAAUUUCAUUACUUUGAAUUAUGAUAUGGAACUUCAUUCUUUGUGACUAUUUGUUGCCAAAUGUACAAGAUUUUUGUAUGUAACAUGACUGUCUCUGGGAAUCCUCUUGAGUUGAAGGA